GACGAACGCUGGCGGCGUGCCUAACACAUGCAAGUCGAACGGAGUUAAGACUUCGGUUUUAACUUAGUGGCGAACGGGUGAGUAACGCGUGAGAAACCUGCCUUUCAGUGGGGGACAACAGUUGGAAACGACUGCUAAUACCGCAUAAUGUUGCGAGAGGGCAUCCUCUUGCAACCAAAGCUUUAUGUGCUGAAAGAUGGUCUCGCGUCUGAUUAGCUAGUUGGUGAGGUAACGGCUCACCAAGGCGACGAUCAGUAGCCGGUCUGAGAGGAUGAACGGCCACACUGGGACUGAGAUACGGCCCAA
rnacentral:rRNA from 1 species